CCUCAGCCCUGAAGUCUCACUCCCUAGCUCAGAACUCAACUCCCAACUUUGACCCACUUUCCAACCCCAACCACUUCAUAGAUCAACACUUUAAUGCCCAGUCCAGAAGUCUCAUUCCCUAGUUUGAAGACCCACUCUUCAGCUCUAAAGAUCCCUUCCCAAUGCCAGACCCAGCCACAAUACCUUCUGUCAUCUCCCUUGAAGUGCUGUGUGUGGGAGGGAGACCCUCACUAAGCCCCUUUUCAAACCGAGAGCAGAGACUGGAAAAUGCAUACAGUUUGACAGUCCCUGCUACCACAAAAUACCACCAAUGAGGAAGGUAGCCUCUAAAUGGCAUAUUAAAAUAAAUUAAAGACUGGUCUAAUACAGCAUACUGAAGGGCUGCUCAAUUUUAUAACAUGACAGGAGGCUUCGUAUUUGCUUUAGUCUCUCUUUACUAGAACUCCACAGCAGCACAGAAAAACAACCAAUCAGAAAAAAGUUAGUUACUAUAAAACUCCCCUCCCCAUGCAUCAUUUCCUCUUUCUUUGCUGCUCUGCAGUCAGUACAGGUCAGAGUACCACUGCCUCCUGCUUAUAGUUGGUGGCUUUGGGAUUUAGUAUGACUUAUUUAUGAUUUAUAUUUAUUAUAUUCAGUUACCG